UAGCCCAGAGAAAUUUGGAUUAAUACCCCAUAGUAUAUUGGAGUGGCAUCACUUUAGUAUUAAAGAUUUAUCACUUGAAGAUGGCUGUGCGGCUGAUUAGGUAGUUGGCGGGUAACGGCCCACCAAGCCCUGCGAUCAGUAACUGGUGUGAGAGCACGACCAGUCACACGGGCACUGAGACACGGGCCCGACUCCUACGGGAGGCAGCAGUAAGGAAUAUUGGUCAAUGGACGAAAGUCUGAACCAGCCAUGCCGCGUGGAGGAUGAAGGUCCUCUGGAUUGUAAACUUCUUUUAUAUGGGACGAAAAAGGGCUUUCUAGCUCGUCUGACGGUACCAUAUGAAUAAGCACCGGCUAACUCCGUG
rnacentral:rRNA from 1 species